rnacentral:rRNA from 1 species
GGGUGCGACUCACGGACGUCAGCACUAAUGGCACCGGAUCCCAUCAGAACUCCGAAGUUAAGCGUGGUUGGGCGAGCACGAGAGUAGUACUAGGAUGUGUGACCCCCUGGGAAGUCCUCGUGUUGCACCCC